rnacentral:rRNA from 1 species
AGGGCUUGACAUACCAGUGACCGUCCUAGAGAUAGGAUUUUCCCUUCGGGGACAAUGGAUACAGGUGGUGCAUGGUUGUCGUCAGCUCGUGUCGUGAGAUGUUGGGUUAAGUCCCGCAACGAGCGCAACCCCUGUCGUUAGUUGCCAGCAUUCAGUUGGGGACUCUAACGAGACUGCCAGUGACAAACUGGAGGAAGGUGGGGAUGACGUCAAAUCAUCAUGCCCCUUAUGACCUGGGCUACACACGUGCUACAAUGGUUGGUACAAAGAGAAGCGAAGCGGUGACGUGGAGCAAACCUCAUAAAGCCAAUCUCAGUUCGGAUUGUAGGCUGCAACUCGCCUACAUGAAGUUGGAAUCGCUAGUAAUCGCGAAUCAGCAUGUCGCGGUGAAUACGUUCCCGGGUCUUGUACACACCGCCCGUCACACCACGAGAGUUUACAACACCCGAAGUCAGUGGCCUAACCGCAAGGAGGGAGCUGCCUAAGGUGGGGUAGAUGAUUGGGGUGAAGUCGUAACAAGGUAUCCCUACCGGAAGGUGGGGAUGGAUCACCUCCUUUCUAUGGAGA